CUGGUGAAGGGGAGAAAAAACAAGCCUGGUUUAAGGAUAAUGCUGCAAAGUAUAUUAACAUCAGCUAGAAGCAGACUCUGAAGUUACAGCCCCCAUCUCACCCACCUGCAAGUGGCCUCAAAGAGACAGUGGAAAAGAUUUUACCUGUCUACUUUACCUUGAAGGAGAUAUGACCUGAUUAGAAGGAAACAUGAUGUCUAGAGCUCAAGAAGCUAUCUUGGAUCAAGGGAUGAGGAUCACACCUAAAGAAGAAGAGGCAGUGAUAGCCCUGAAUGGUACAGCUGAAGACUUCUCUAGUGCUUCUGCCAGCUCCAUCAUCUAUGGAGUUACUGUCAUGGUAUCCCACACACCAUUACUGAUGACCAAGGAAUUAACUUCACAAUGAAAAAAGACGAAGGAGAGCCUAGAAGUUCGGUGAAUGGCCAGUGCCACCAAAUGAAGCCAAGCCAAGGAGCAAGGCAUCACGACUCUAUCAUCCCUCAGUAGCAUAUGUCUUAUUGUGUUAUCAUACAUUGUUAUUAAGAACUUUGGAGAUUUUUGUUCUGAGCCUGAAGUGUGUGGAGGUGUUAGUCAGUGAUUGUUUAGUAUUUGACCUAAUUUUCUAAAUUUUCUAUAUUCAGCCUUUUAUCAAGUAAGUCAUUUUUUUAAAUCUACACAUCUUAUUUUUCAGGAACAAUGGUUUUA